GCCCGGUUAGCUCAAUCGGUAGAGCGUGAGACUCUUAAUCUCAAGGUUGCGGGUUCGACCCCCGCAUUGGGCUC
rnacentral:tRNA from 1 species